UACGUAGGUGGCAAGCGUUAUCCGGGUUUAUUGGGCGUAAAGGGAACGCAGGCGGUCUUUUAAGUCUGAUGUGAAAGCCUUCGGCUUAACCGGAGUAGUGCAUUGGAAACUGGGAGACUUGAGUGCAGAAGAGGCGAGUGGAACUCCAUGUGUAGCGGUGAAAUGCGUAGAUAUAUGGAAGAACACCAGUGGCGAAAGCGGCUCUCUGGUCUGUAACUGACGCUGAGGUUCGAAAGCGUGGGUAGCAAACAGG
rnacentral:rRNA from 1 species